AAUUAUGAAAAAAUUCAAAUAUAUAUAAAAUUGUCACUUACAUGCAUUUGACAAGAUUCCACUGAUAUCAGUGGCCUAAAAAACACAAAGAAUAAUAAUUGUAAUGUAUAAAUUGUGUAUUGUGAAAAGUGCUAUACAAAUAAAUGUGCAUUGAAUUAAUCAAGUAAAUGAAAGUCUGCUCACUAACCACACUGGCUGAUCUCCUUCUCCUUAACCCCUCCACGUACCCUCCUUAAAUGAUCCCAAUACUCAUCAUAGCUCCGUUCAAAAACACAGCUAGUUUUAGAAUGUCUUGUAGAGCAUCCAAAGUUUCUUAGUUAUUCAUAGUGAUGGUGCUUUUCUUACUAGUACUGCUAUAGUAAACUAGGAGGACUAAAGUCUGACUUUUUUGAAUGCACUGUUGUUUGCAGGGGGAGAGGGGCAAGAAAGGCAACAGGGGGGCCAAAGGGGAUAAGGGAGACCAAGGAGCCCCGGGAUUAGAUGCCCCGUGUCCGUUGGGUGAUGAUGGUUUGCCAGUACCAGGGUGUUGGAAUAAAUGACGUUAAUUCCUGAAUGCCAUGUGUGAUUGUAAAUAGAAUAUUUAUUUUUGUACUUUUUUUUUUUUUUGCCAUUGAUCUAUUAUAUUGAUGGAAAAUACAGCAAACCAUAAAAAUACUGGCAGGACUUUUGUACAGAUGUUUAUUUUUAUUACUGGUAAUGUUUUUUAUGUAAUGGACUUAAUACAGUUUUUUGAUUGAGGAAGAAAUAUACUGUGGCAACAUAUGCAUGAUAUUUGUGCAUUAUGUUAACUGUUAAGUGCCUAUUAACUUAUUGUAUCAUAGUGUUUUAAUGUGUUGUGUCGGACCACGCUGCACUGAUUAGUGGGGCUGGAGUUACAAAUUGGCCUUGUGUGUAAGAGGAAAGUCUUUGCUCUGAGAUUAACAUGUUCACACCACACCUGCUUACACUGUAACUGCAUAUGUUUACUGAACAUUAAAAUGACUUAUUUCAAAGUCCAUACUACAUGCAGUAGACAGUAGUCAGUUGUUUCAUAUGAGUUUCAGUGCAUAAAUUAUGAACAUCUGCACUGCGUGGCUUGUUUAGUGAGCAUUUCAUACUGUUUUCUCCAUAUUCACCUGCCAUUUUUUGCCAAAUAUAUUAUUGCAAAAACUGAAUUAGUGAAUGGCUCUAUGAAAAGAAAAGAAUGACUGAAAUCCACACACAGUGCUUUGCCUUGAUAGGCUUUCAUGUAAAUACGUCUAAAUCUGGCCCUUUGAGCAGCUAUAUUUUUUCUAUUCUUAUUUCUGGCAAUUUAAUAGUAUAGUAGAUUAAUGUAAUUUACAUACUUGGGCAAUGAAUUUAGUCUUCAUUUAUCUCAUUUAUAUUGCUGCUCACUGUCGAGCACAUCUUUGUGUUUGUUAAUAAGCAUCAACAACCAUUCAAAAGUUUGGGG